rnacentral:rRNA from 1 species
UACGUAGGGGGCAAGCGUUGUCCGGAAUCAUUGGGCGUAAAGAGCGUGUAGGCGGCCCGAUAAGUCCGCUGUGAAAGUCCAGGGCUCAACCCUGGAAUGCCGGUGGAAACUGUCGGGCUAGAGUUCGGAAGAGGUGAGUGGAAUUCCUGGUGUAGCGGUGAAAUGCGCAGAUAUCAGGAGGAACACCAAUGGCGAAGGCAGCUCACUGGGACGAUACUGACGCUGAGACGCGAAAGCGUGGGGAGCAAACAGG